AUCCUAGAUCUGGAUGCCCUUCAGGGAACCUAAAAACCAGCGAGUCCCGGAAAGGCCUCUGGUAAUUGCCAAGCCGAAAGCCUUCUGCCACUUAGUUAAUGUGCACCUGGCAGCUUAGGUGGCCGCGGAGAAAGCAACUUUGGCUGCAUCAAGGUCCGGCACAAGUCUAGAGAAGCUUCAGCCAGUUCCAGCUUUGGUAUCAGGAUGAUGCUGGCCUCAUAAAAUGAGUUAGGGAGGAUUCCCUCUUUUUCUAUUGAUUGGAAUAGUUUCAGAAGGAAUGGUACCAGCUCCUCCUUGUACCUAUGAUAGAAUUCGUCUGUGAAUCCAUCUGGUCCUGGACUCUUUUUGGUUGAUGGCUGGAGUCAGCUGGCAAAUACAGAAGCAGGAAACAUUACACUGAAGCUCAGAAAAUAAUAUCCCCAAAUGAAGGCAUCAGAAAUAAAAGUUCUUCUCUGACCUUCUUUCUCUCAAGGUCAUAAGACCUCCAUUCCAUAGAGGGUCCUGUGCCACACCCAGAAGGAAGGAACGCUGCUCAGAGAGGCCAAGAGGAGUCUAGACAGACAGGCCCUGCUGGGGUUUCCCAACUUCAUCUAUUAGCAUUAGAUCAUACCCUUAUUGUCCAAUCAUAUUUCUGCAUCACUGCUCAUACUUUGUUGAACCUAAGCAAAAAUUGGACAAUUUUCUGUGUAUUUUUGGGUCCUCAUUCAGAAGGUUCCUGUGUGUAUAUGUUAAAUAAAUUUUUAUGAUUUUUCUCCAA